CGUGUAGGUGGUUCGGAAAGUCGGAUGUGAAAGUCCGGAGCUCAACUCCGGAAGUGCAUCCGAUACUCCCGAGCUAGAGUCCCGGAGAGGAAGGCAGAAUUCCCAAUGUAGGGGUGAAAUCCGUAGAUAUUGGGAGGAAUACCGGUGGCGAAGGCGGCCUUCUGGACGGUGACUGACACUGAGACGCGAAAGCGUGGGGAGCAAACAG
rnacentral:rRNA from 1 species